GUCACUAUAGCUCAGUGGUAGAGCACACGAUUGCAAUUACUUAAGCUCAAUGCUUAUGCGAUGAUAUCGUGUGGUCCCGUGUUCGAACCACGGUAGGGACU